rnacentral:ncRNA from 1 species
ACUGAUACCCUAGCGGGCCGCACAGUUCAAAGCGGCCCGCCCCCAUAACCGA